rnacentral:rRNA from 1 species
UCUGCGGUGGGUACGGGCAGACUAGAGUGAUGUAGGGGAGACUGGAAUUCCUGGGUUAGCGGUGAAAUGCGCAGAUAUCAGGAGGGAACACCGAUGCGAAGGCAGGUCUCUGGGCAUUUACUGACGCUGAGGAGCGAAAAGCAUGGGGGAGCGAACAGGAUUAGAUACCCUGGUAGUCCAUGCCGUAAAACGUUGGAGCACUAGGUGUGGGGGACAUUCCACGUUUUCCGCGCCGUAGCUAACGCAUUAAGUGCCCCGCCUGGGGAGUACGGCCGCAAGGCUAAAACUCAAAGGAAUUGACGGGGGCCCGCACAAGCGGCGGAGCAUGCGGAUUAAUUCGAUGCAACGCGAAGAACCUUACCAAGGCUUGACAUGUGCCAGACCGCCUCAGAGAUGGGGUUUCCCUUCGGGGCUGGUUCACAGGUGGUGCAUGGUUGUCGUCAGCUCGUGUCGUGAGAUGUUGGGUUAAGUCCCGCAACGAGCGCAACCCUCGUUCCAUGUUGCCAGCACGUAAUGGUGGGGACUCAUGGGAGACUGCCGGGGUCAACUCGGAGGAAGGUGGGGAUGACGUCAAAUCAUCAUGCCCCUUAUGUCUUGGGCUUCACGCAUGCUACAAUGGCCGGUACAAUGGGUUGCGAUACUGUGAGGUGGAGCUAAUCCCUAAAAGCCGGUCUCAGUUCGGAUUGGGGUCUGCAACUCGACCCCAUGAAGUCGGAGUCGCUAGUAAUCGCAGAUCAGCAACGCUGCGGUGAAUACGUUCCCGGGCCUUGUACACACCGCCCGUCAAGUCACGAAAGUUGGUAACACCCGAAGCCGAUGGCCUAACCACCUUG